CCUACGGGAGGCAGCAGUGGGGAAUCUUGCGCAAUGGGCGAAAGCCUGACGCAGCCAUGCCGCGUGAAUGAUGAGGGUCUUAGGAUUGUAAAAUUCUUUCACCGGGGACGAUAAUGACGGUACCCGGAGAAGAAGCCCCGGCUAACUUCGUGCCAGCAGCCGCGGUAAUACGAAGGGGGCUAGCGUUGCUCGGAAUUACUGGGCGUAAAGGGAGCGUAGGCGGAUAGUUUAGUCAGAGGUGAAAGCCCAGGGCUCAACCUUGGAAUUGCCUUUGAUACUGGCUAUCUUGAGUACGGAAGAGGUAUGUGGAACUCCGAGUGUAGAGGUGAAAUUCGUAGAUAUUCGGAAGAACACCAGUGGCGAAGGCGACAUACUGGUCCGUUACUGACGCUGAGGCUCGAAAGCGUGGGGAGCAAACAGGAUUAGAUACCCUGGUAGUCCACGCUGUAAACGAUGAGUGNUAGUUGUCGGCAUGCAUGCAUGUCGGUGACGCAGCUAACGACAUUAAGUACACCUCCGCCGUCGGGGAGGUACGGGUCGGCGAAGAAGUUAAAACGUUAAAAGGUAAAGUUAGUUACGGUCGUUGAGACGUUGCCGACGGACGACGACGAGGGGAGGAGG
rnacentral:rRNA from 1 species